rnacentral:rRNA from 1 species
UGAGCAAUCUGCCCUUCUUUUUGGAAUAAGCGUUGGAAACGACGUCUAAUGCCGAAUACGACCUCCUUUCGCAUGAUCGGAGGUGGAAAGCUCCGGCGGAGAAGGAUGAGCUCGCGGCCUAUCAGCUAGUUGGUAUGGGUAACGGCCCACCAAGGCGACGACGGGUAGCCGGCCUGAGAGGGUGACCGGCCACACGUGGGACUGAGACACGGCCCAGACCUCCGUACGGGGAGCAG